GGUCUUGUAGUGUAGCGGUUAUCACUCGGGAUUCUGAGCAACACUGAUGAAUUCCCGCAACCCAGGUUCGAAUCCUGGCAGGACCU
rnacentral:tRNA from 1 species